rnacentral:pre_miRNA from 1 species
UGCCGAGAAAAACCUCGGUAGUUAACUGCAGUUGGUUUUGUGUUUCCUCUGCAGUUAACUACCGAUGGAUAU